UACGUAGGCAGCGAGCGUUGUUCGGAGUUACUGGGCGUAAAGGGUGUGUAGGCGGUUUGGUAAGUCUGGUGUGAAAUCUCCCGGCUCAACUGGGAGGGUGCGCCGGAAACUGCCGGACUAGAGUGCGGGAGAGGAGAGUGGAAUUCCUGGUGUAGCGGUGAAAUGCGUAGAUAUCAGGAGGAACACCUGUGGCGAAAGCGGCGCACUGGACCACAACUAACGCUGAGGCGCGAAAGCUAGGGGAGCAAACAGG
rnacentral:rRNA from 1 species